CUGCACCACAAAAACGGACACUAGGGCCUGGAGCAGCAGGCCCAGCGAGGCCAGCACUAGCAGCGGGCGGCGGCCCACACUGUCGCUCCAAGCUCCCAGCAGGGUGGACGAGAAGAGCCCCACCAGGAAGCCGCCCACGUUCAUGUAGAGGGUCCAGUGGGAGGUAAGGGUCUCCACUUCCUGUAGGGGCACAAUGACCAGGGUGCGGUUCCUCACUCUGGGUUCCACAAUCCCCAAAUCCUCGCCAUCCCGGGAGCUACAGGGAUGAGGACUUCCUUUGGAGCCCUAAACCUCAGAGAAUCUUAGCACAGCUUUCAAAAUCUGCCAGUGGAGAGGGGGAAGGACAUGGACCAAGGCCCCAUUCCCUUUCCUUUCCCCCCCCUUUUGUUAACCUGCAAGGCCAGACUUUAGCUCAGCUUUUCGCAUCCCACCCGCUGAGGUUCUCGGUCAGGCCCCUUUGCUCUGGUCCCGCCCACCAUCCAAAAUGCACCCUCCCUCCAGUUACCCGCCACUACCAUUACGCAGGCCCCGCCCCUCCGCUGCCCCCACGCUCCAGACCAGGGCCCUCCACCUGCCAGGCUCCUCGCCGCCCCGCUACCUGCAUGGUGGGGUCCGCGCUGCGGUUGCUGCAGCCCCCCCUUUGGCGGGUGCCAUUGUAGCCGAGGUCGGCGCUGAAGCGGUGCCACAGAUACUGCGUGGCUAGCCAAUAUUAACCAUCGCUAUCUACCGCUGAGGAAACGAGGUCAUCGGGUACUCAAGGCAGAGCUGGAAGAGCACAUGACUCCUGAUGCUGCUGAUGUUCUGCGCUGUAACAGAGAGGCAGCUGGAGAGGAUCGGAGUGGGCUGAGCCCAGCUGCCUGGGUUGGAGCACCUAGGCUCUGCCACUACCUUCGGCAUGCCACUUACCACCCUGAGCCUCUGUUUUUUCAUCUGUAAAAUGGAGUUGCUAACAAAACAUGUCUCAAAAAGUUGUGGAAAAGCAGUGUCUGGUAUAUUCAAAGU
rnacentral:lncRNA from 10 species